UACAGAGGGGGCAAGCGUUGUUCGGAAUUACUGGGCGUAAAGGGCGCGUAGGCGGCCUGCUAAGUCGAACGUGAAAUCCCCGGGCUCAACCCGGGAACUGCGUCCGAUACUGGCAGGCUUGAAUCCGGGAGAGGGAUGCGGAAUUCCAGGUGUAGCGGUGAAAUGCGUAGAUAUCUGGAGGAACACCGGUGGCGAAGGCGGGUCUCUGGGCCGAAACUGACGCUGAGGAGCGAAAGCGUGGGGAGCAAACAGG
rnacentral:rRNA from 1 species